UGGACUCAGUCUCCUGACUUCAUGAUCUGCCCGCCUCGGCCUCCCAAAGUGCUGGGAUUACAGGAAUGAGCCACCCCGCCAGGCCAACACUGGUCCCCUUGAAGGAAAAAUGGGCAGCUGACUAAUCCUUGCCAAGCUCUGGCCUGGAUGAAAAAUUGAAUCAUUCCUUUCCCUCUUCCUCCCUAACCUGUUCUUUCUUUCCACUAGAAUCCUUGCCCAGAGUCCAGCACCUCCUUCCUGUCCAGGAUCACCUUCUGGUGGAUCACAGGGUUGAUCAUCCUGGGCAGCCACCAACCCCUGGAGAGCAGUGGCCUCUGGUCCUUAAACAAGGAGGACACAUCGGAAUAAGUCAUGCCUGCUUUGGUAAAGAACUGGAAGAAGAAAUGCACCAAGUCUAGGAACUACUCAAAGGCUAAGGUGGAAGAAUCACUUGAACCCAGGAGGCGGAGGAUGCAGUGAGCCAGUAUCACACCAGGGCACUCCAGCAUGGGAGACAGAGAGUCCAUCUCAAUCUUUCCAUAGUCCAUCUCUAUAUGGUCUCCUGAUGUGGGGCCAGCUUUGCAAAAUGUGGAUGAGAAGUAUUUGUUCAGUACCUGCUGUGCAUUGUUUUAUGUACUGAAGAUACAGCAGCCUACCUGGAGCUGACAUUCUAAUGGGGAAAGAAAAUAAAUGCUUGGGAACCAAGAGGCUAUGCCCUUCCCUUCUUGCGUUUUCUUACAUCCUGGUCCUGGGAAGUGAGCUUCACAGAGCAGAGAUGCUGUUAUCUGGGCUGGGUUUUACCCGUCGCUGCUGGUACAGGA